AGAGCACAGAAGAAGAAGGGAUGAGGAGAACGAGUGGAGUGGAGGAGAGCUGCAGUGGAGAGACAAAAGAGUCAUUUAUGCAGGAUGCUGCUUCAGUGCCAGUAAAUUGUACCAAAAUCAAUGGGGACUACUGUAUCUGCCAAACAAAUACACACAAAGUAUUCAUGAAAGCAACUUUACUCUGCAGAUGAUGCCAGAACGAAGUGAAGAGAGGUGAAUGCGGACAUCAGGCGCAGCAGCGAUCACCUGAUAGAUACGCAUACAGUUUGUUCAAAGUCAAAUACAGAAUAAAUGCAUUUGAUUGGUAAACCAAAUUCAAAC